rnacentral:rRNA from 1 species
UACGAAGGGGGCUAGCGUUGCUCGGAAUCACUGGGCGUAAAAGCGCACGUAGGCGGCUUUUUUUAAAGUCAGGGGGUGAAAAUCCUGGAGCUCAACUCCAGAACUGCCUUUGAUACUGGGAAGCUUGAGUCCGGAAGAGGUGAGUGGAACUCCGAGUGUAGAGGUGAAAUUCGUAGAUAUUCGGAAGAACACCAGUGGCGAAGGCGGCUCACUGGUCCGGUACUGACGCUGAGGUGCGAAAAGCGUGGGGAGCAAACAGG